UUGUCUCAGUUAGUAUAUCAUAAUGGAUGUUUCAUUGAUAGCAGACGCAACGAAUAACUUGAUAGUAUAUCUGGCAACAAUCAUAGAGAUUGCUCAUUAUACUCUGGUAAUUUACGGAGUACGGAAUGACUGGGAUGUCAACAAGGCAAGGAAACAGCCAGUUGCCACAUGGUUGAUGUCGAUAGCUUGUUGCUACGGUGGAGGGAUGAUCAUAAGUGUUUGUGUAGGAAAACCUGCUCUGACUCCUCUAUCCAAUAAUCAGUCAGUUCUCAUGAUGACAAUAGUAUGGUGGCACAUUUUCUACUCUCCCAAAGAUGUCAUUUAUAAUUUGUCGUCAUGGAAACCAGCGAUGUUAGUGAUUGUUCUGGGAAAAGAAAUGAUCCGAACAAGAAAAAUUAUAAAAGGAGUGAAACUCGGUCGUGGAGCUUUCCCUGACUCUCUCUUGAUCUGUACUAUUCUUGGAAUGUUUGGAGCCUGCGGAGGGGGGUUCGUCAAAAAUGCUGCAACGUUUGUGAGGAAACAAUGGAAUCAUGAGACCGUGAAAUCUAUUCAUUUGGCGACUAACAAAGCUCAGUCUUCUGUUCUCGCUAUUUUACAAUCUACAACUUCUAGGAAUGCUGCCGAUCUCAUUCAACACUGUUGUUCUUCUACAACUAACUGUGAUGUUCCUGAUAUCGAACGCAGAGGACCUCCACCUACCACCUCCACCUCUUUUUUUCCGAGUAACAAAGCUCAGUCUUCUGUUCUCGCUAUUUUACAAUCUACAACUUCUAGGAAUGCUGCCGAUCUCAUUCAACACUGUUGUUCUUCUACAACUAACUGUGAUGUUCCUGAUAUCGGCUUCUUCCAAGUUUGGCGUCAACUUUGAUCCGUUCCAUCGAAUUGAGAAGAUAAUCACAAGUUGUGUGAUAGAUUAUUCUGCGUAUGGGGGGAACUGAGGAGGAAAAAUCCCCUCAGAAAAAAGUCGGGGAGGAAAAAUCCCCUGAAAAGAAAAAAGAUUCUUUGAAAAAGAAAGAAUAAGCCCACAGCUUUGCCGCAAAUUGAAAAUGUUUCAUCUCAAAGAAGUGGAUCCGACAUUCUUUUGACUCGGAAUGCAGUAUCUGACAGAAACGUUCUAUACAACAUAGAAAUCUUCGGUGAUGAUGUGAAACUUGGAGAGACUCACACUACAGAAGUUCCUCAGUAUAGAAUGAAGUCACCUAUACUUGGUAAAACAUAUCGUUUCCAAGUCUGGGCCAAGGAUGAAUGGGGAAACUCUGGCAUCAAAACGCAGUCAAAGAAUGUUAUAAAAGAACGCAGAGGACCUCCACCUAUCAACUUUGCUGGAGCAAAUAUUGGGAAUCUUCAUCUAUCGGGAGAGAAAAUCAGAACAAUCAGCAAAUGGGGCAAAAUGAACAAGAAGAAGCUGGUGCAGUAGGUGGAAACCAUGCAAUAGAAUAAACCAAUACAGCAUGAAGGUGAUGACGAUUCCGAUGAUCUUGAGAAGUCUCCCAAACUGACCACGUUCUAAAGACAUUGCAAUAAGACAAUAAUCUCAGACUUAAUGCCGAAUGAUCCUGUGGUAUCCUGCAACACAUUAUGGACAUGCAUAUGUAGUGAAAGGCUUAAAUAUUAGAAAUAUUAACUCUUAAAGACUAGAUAGUCUAGUCCAAUAAUAGUAGAAUUAGGGGAAAAAUUUCAUAAUUUUUUUUUUAUGUGAAAUGCUGAUUUUGCAUAGGCUUGGAUUGUGAAAACAUAGUAAUUGACUCUUAGUCAUAUGCACCACCCUUCAGCAACGAUUUCGGCAAUUUAGGUCAUCCCUCACAAGAUUUGACCUCUUGAACUGACCUCAGAGCAUUUUGUAAAAUUCUGCACCAAAUCCUGAUCAGCAUGUUUUUUCAUACAAAUUCUUGUCAUUUCAUAAUUUUUUAAUUUUUUUUUCCUAUUAGUUUUACAAAUUAGGUUCAAAUAGCCAUUGUUCGAAUUUUUAUUAAUUUUUGUUGUGAAAUGGAUUAUUAUCUUUUGCUUUUAUGUUUUUCAAUUAUUGUCAACCACUGAUAUUUAUUAUUUCUGUGUAUAUUUCAAAACAUCCCUAUGAAUUUAUGAUAUUCUGAUUUGUCGGCAAACCCGCCAUAAAUUAUGCAUUUCUUGACUGUUAUAAUAACAGUUGGACUGGAGUGAUUGAUUUUUGGCUCAGUGUUGUGGUUUGAUAUUGUGUUCCGAAAACUUGGUAGCUAAGGACUCUACUGGAGCCCAGUGUAACUUUGCCCCUAAUCUAUGUAAAGUAAUAAGAAAUGUCCAUUAUGGAUUCUAGUAAUAAUAUAAUAGUGAUACAUGUAGAAUAUUACAAUGAUGUUUUGCAAUGCCUAUUACGAAUUUCCAUUUUUUUGUCUUUUGUGUGAGUCAGGUUUUUAAAUUUUCAUGUACUGCAAUCCGCUUUUCUUGUUCAUCAUUAUUCUCUAUAACUCCGUGUGUGUCUCUAAGUUUUAAAAAAGUAAAAA